CAACUCUAAGUGAUGGAAAUCCUCCUUCAUUGGGCAGGGAGAGAGAGCAAAGGGAAAGGAAGAUGAAAAAAAGGCUCUUUCUCUGAGAAAUUAAAUUGGACUUCAAAUUUACAGGGUCUUCAUUUUGUUCUGGUGCUAAUGAAUUAAGCCCUUGCUGACAGUUAUAUUGCUGCAGAAAUAAGUGCUGGUUAAAAGCACUUUUGGAAACUCUGACUUUCAUUUUAAAGCUGCCACAAUUUACAUUUCAUCCAUUCAUUAAUUCAUUUAUUGAUGCUGCUCAGGUAGGAAGCUCACAGCAGGAUUCACCCAGACGUGGUUUUUAAUCCCAAAGCAGCUUCCAUGUGGAGCUGAGGGGGCAUUUCCCUGGGAGAGUUUUCCAGGGCACUCUCCAGGAGCUCUGGCUUGGAAGUGCUGGACCAAACCUUGCUGAUUUCCAGGAGCAGAGACAUCUGGAGAUGGAAAAGGGGCUCAGUGUUGACCACUGCCAACAGUGAGAAAAAACCUCAUCCAUCCAGAUUCCUACCCAGUCUCAAAAAUUGGCUUUUCCCUUUGCACAGCACGAGGAAAACCCCGAUGAUCCUGUGUUGAUGUUUUGGCUCCCUCUCCCUGAGGAUGUCCUUGAUCCUCAUGGAGCCCUUGGGGCAGACAGGAAUUUCCAAUAACUGGAAUUUCCAGGCAGCUAAAAAUGCCCUCCCAGCCUCUCCAUGCCGGGGGCUGCUGGAACUCCAGGGAUAGCAAAUCUCCCAUCUCUUCCAUCCCUCCCGCUCCAAGGAGGUGGCUCCUGCUUUGAUUUUGGCCCAAAUCCCAUUUCUGUGUGGCUUUGUGAGGCUCCUGCUCCCCCAUGAGAGCCCCUGGAGCCACCAAGCUCCUGGCAGCAAUCGGAUCCCGAACGUUCCCGUCAUUUAUCCAGCAGCUUUCAUUACUUCCCUUCUCCAAAGACUUGUUCAAUAAAUUACCACUUUAUGAAUCCAUAAGUGUUCUGUGCAGCCCUGAACAAAAGAGAAGGAAAAAAAAAAACCCCAAACCCUCCAGGCUGGACCAGCUGUAACAGCAGAUCUUUUCAUGCUGGAAAGAAAGGCAUUCCUAAAGGAAUAUCCCACAUGGAUAACAGAGCCUUCAGCAGCCAGUGGACAGCAACACCCCUCAGUGCCACUGCAGGAACCCGGGGAUGCAGGGGAAUGAGGAUGGGGAGCCAGGGGAUGCAGCCCCUCAUUAGCCAAAACCCUGCACAGACAUCUCCUUGAAGGGCUGAGCCUCCCAAGAACAGAGGAGGUGGAGGAAAGGGCUUGAAAAAAGCAUAAACAAGGAGAAAAAGCCUAUUUUUUUAGCACUGCUCCAAACAAAGCUCUGUGAUUUUGCCCAUUCCUGUGGCUGGAUUUCCUUUAGCAGGGUUAUUCUUGUUCGUGGGACUGCAAGGGUGGAGGGUGUCCCUCAGAACAGACCCCACACAGCCCUGGUGUCCCCUCACAGAGGGGACAGAGGGACCUGGCAGGUCCUUUCAGUCCCAGCUGGCAGCUGCAAGUGGCAGAGAGGAGGAGAAGCAGGAGCACAAGGGGCUGAGUCAGGGAUGGGGGCUGAGAUGGGUGGGGCAGGGUGGUCCUGGAGAUGCUAAAAAGGGAUUUUGGCCAGAGCAGAGGUGUUCCCUCUUUUAACCCCAUCUUACCUCUGCCUCCAGCCUUGAUUUUCCCCCAAAAGCUGCUGCUGGGCUCCAAGCCAGGCACAGAUCCAGCACCUGGCUCCAUGGAUGGGUGCUGGGAGUGCUGCCCUCCUUCUCUGCCAGGAUGGAGAGGAGAGGGAAGGUGGGAAAGCUGCCAGGCAGAGAGAAACCCCACAGAGCUGUCUGAGGAACCUUUCCACUCCGGUGGGCAGCAAACAGGGGGAAGAAGAACCAAUAAAAAAAACCAAAAAAAAGAGAAAUCAAUAAGCACCACCCGGCGUGGCUCCAUCUGCCAUUGAUUUAUGGCCCUGCUGAAAAGCCUGGUUGUCCACAAUUAUUGGGCAGUCAGCUCCUAUUUGCCAUGAUUUCCUCACCCCUCCUUUGCACCUGGCACCCUGUCACAUCCCAGCCUGGCUCUGGGGGCUUUGGGGGCUCUGGGGGCUCAGUCCCAGCUGGAAUAGUGGGUAGUGGGAUAGUGGGGUGCUUGUCAGGCUCAGGCCUGCUCCUCCAAAGGUCUGGAAUGGCAGCUGGAGGGAGGACGUGGGUGGCUUGGCCAUGGAGCAGCAAGGGGGCAAAGAGCAGUCAGGUGCAGUGCAAGCAAAGCCAACCAGAAAAUUAAAUGUUGCCCUGAGCUGCUGGAAAUUCAGCUUUAUCUCCAAAGGGCCCAAAAGCUGGGCACAAGGAGAUUUCCUUCCUAGUCUUCUUGACAACCUUCCCAGCUUGAUUUUGCUCUUUUGGCAGUUUCUCUCGUGUACAGGUGACCCAGGAGGUCAAAUUGAGCCAGGCAGCCAAUGGUGAGGGAGAGCCUGCUGGAUGAGUUCCCUCAGAUAUGCAUUCCAUUAUCCCAGUGCUUCCUCGGGCUGGGGGGGAAAGAAAAUCAAUGUCAGGAGAUCAUCAAGUGUCCUCUGAGCCAGCAGAGAGGGGUCUCCACUGCAGAGUCCAGCCUGGAGUAAUGAGCUCUGGCAAAUUCCAGGAUCUCCUGCCCCUGAGAGAAACUGCCCUGGCAGCUGAGGAAUGAACAUUUCCUCCCUCCCCGAGGGCAGGCUCAGCUCUGGCAGUACCAGGAAGGGUGAUGGGGAGAUGGGAUCCAGGGGAAGGUGGCAGGGGGUGGAACAAGAUGAGCUUUAAGGUCCCUUCCAACCCAAACCAUCCUGUCUGGGGUAGCUCAGCUCAGGACAAGGCCUCAGAAUGGGCCUUGUUGGAUGCUCAAGGUUGCUCUGGGUCUUCUCCAAGCACUCACUGGGCACCCCAAAGCAGUGAGAGGAAGGAAAAAGUGGUUUGAACACCCAGGCUGGGUAAAUCCUGCUCACAGGAAUCACUGGGAAUGUGAAAACCAAGCUGCGACCUCGUUGUGCACCAAAACGCUCCUUGGAGAGGCAAAUUCUUCAUUGUGAAAACCAAUUCAGUGACUCUGGUCUGCAGGGAGUCUGGAAAAAGCCUUGGAGCCACAGUGAGAGCUGGCGAGCUGAAUUUCACCUGAACCCAUGAAGCAAUGAUUAUUUAGAUUAUUUUGGUGAGAAAUGGGGAUAUUAUGAAAGGGCUGAUUGCAGAAUUGAGCCCUGAAUGAAAGACUUCAACCUAAAUCCACAAGUAAUUAGAGGAAGGAACAAAAGGGAAUAAGGCUGCAGCUGUGGAUCUUGAUUUCAAGCAGAGUGGACACCAAGAAACAAAAGGAAUUUUUAGUGAAUUCAGCUGGAGAGAGGUCAAGGAAGCAAAUGUGCAGAAAACCUGGAAUGGCAUCAAGUGAAAGGGUGUUGGAGCUGCAAGAAAUCCCAAGCAGGAGGAAGAGAAACUAAAAAUAAAAGCUCCCAAAGAAGAGCUUGUGAGGGUGAAGCAGGGAAACAGGAGAGAGGAGCCAGCAAUUCCCUGGAGUGGUGAGGAACAGGCACGAGGGAGAGCAUUUCUGCCUGCAAUUAUUUUUAUUACAUCAAGAUAAAGUAUUAUUGGUUUGGAGCACAGCACACGUGGGGGCUGUGUUUAAACAUGAGGCACAAACCCAUUAAUCUGAUCUCGUAGAGGAUUCCAACACGGGGCUAAUUGAAAGUGAGCAAACAACAUUACAAGGGCUUAGCCAGGGGAGAUCACGCCAGAAUAAGUGGAUUUGUCUCAUCCCCUGUUGUCUGUGGGAUCAGCUCUUCCCAUCCACCUGGAGAGGAACUGGGACAGGGAGGCACUGACAGCAAGGCAGGCAAGAUGGAAAAAUUCCCAAGAUCCCCUCAGGACAUCUCCAGGAACAGGGAAAGACCACGCCUGUUCAGGACUUUGAAUCAGGUGAUGCCAUGGGAAUUCCAGCCAGCUGGGAGGAGAAAAUCAGGGAUGUUCCUCAGCAAUGCCAACACCCUCUGGAUCUCCCUGGCAUGGGCAUCCUGAAGGGGUUUGGUGCUUGCAGUCCUGUGAAGGGC